AGGUGCGUCGAGGUACGACGAAGCUAAUUGUGAACAUGUGAUGAUCAAAAGUUCUUGUGAGGAAUGGUUCAGAGAUGGGUUUCGACAAUCUGGAACAUACAAGAUAGAUCUAGGAAGGACUGUUGGAUUGAUUGAUAGAACAUUUUUAUCAGUCGAGUGUGAAUUUGACGAAAUUGCGGGAAUCAUUUCAACCGUUAUUCACCAUACAGAAGAAGCAUCCGUACCAAAUAAUAGAGCCAGAGGAAUAUACCAUAUUCC